AGGGGAGACAGAGUGAGAGAUGGUUUCUUCAACAUCUACUUCGCUGAGUUACCCUAACAAUGGAGAUUCUUUCUGAGAAGAUAAUGAAUCACAAUGAUGGUGAGAGGGAAAGCAGAAGAAGGUGAUGCUUGGAGAUUUGAGUGGGGUUCUUGAAGCAUGGAUUGUUCCGAGAAAUUGAGGCAGAUUGGUGAAGGCACUAAUGGGUGUCCACUCUGCCAACCAUAAAGAUCAACCACACUGGGGAACAAUGGUAACUGAAGUG